GCUCGGCGCGCGAGGGACUGAGCCAUUUCGAGAAACUCGGGGACGAUUGUGCGCGUCGGCUUCGGUCGUCACGUUGAUUGGAACCGAUUUAAUCGCAGUGGCUUGAACCGGGCAAAAGUCGUAACAAGGUAGCUGUAGGUGAACCUGCUGCUGGA
rnacentral:rRNA from 1 species